CCCAGGAUCCAGUCCCCUUGCUCCAAUCACUCUCUCGUAAUUUAUCCACAGUGGAACAGCUCCCACAAGAGAGGCUGAAGAAACCCCACAUCAGAACAUCCCAUCGCACCUCUUCCUCCUCUGGCUGUUUCCUGGGGAGAGAGGCAGGCACCUAUCUCAUUCCAGCAAGAAACACUUUAGGAGCCUAAGCUAUCUGACUCUCAGCGACGGGUUCUGAUUCGUGGAUCGCUAAACUGACAUAGGCAUCCUAUUCUUCUUGCUCCCAGAAGACUGAAAACAGGUUUACUGAAGAAGUCACUCAAGCACGGGGUUGAGAGGAAAGUUUCAGAAUAAGAACUCGUGUGAGUUCAAGAACCACAAAGCAUCCACUUGAAUUUCUGGUCCUGAUAUUGUGUCUCACAAGCAAAUCAUAACUGUUCCUUCGAUAUCCACAGACUGAUUUUCAAGCUGGAUCACUGCAAUGCAUUCUACCUGGAACCACUCUUAAAGAUCACCUGGAAACCCUAGUUGGAACGUAAUGGUGUUCCUCAUCUCUGAAUUAAAAUUCUGUAGCAGAGUCAUUAGGACUAGGAACUCCAUUGAUGCAGCAGAAAGAGGGUCUUCCCUGACUUUCCAACUUUCUCCAGCUUUCCUUGUUUAUACAGUACCUACUACAGAGGGUCUCUGGUCCUUAAUUGGAGCUGCUAGGCACCACCCCCAUAUAAAUAAUAGGUGGAGCUGGUAGCACCACCUACGAUUAAAGUUGCCCUAUACUUCCCGUUAAAAGAGCCUGUUUUCAGUUGCUUAUAAUUUUGUCAAACUUUAAUUAUUUGGCAUGAAAUUUUGUAUGUUGGGUGUCUGCCUAUGGCUCUUUUUUGGCGGGCGGGGAUGGGGGGGAGAAGGAAUUGAGCCAUUCCCAGGAAUCUGAAGGUGGAUUUAAAAAUGCCAACUAGAAAAAUUGGUCCAACUGGUAGAAGAAUUUUGAUGACACAGGUUUCCCUUGGAAUUCCAGAACAAAAGGCCAAAAAGUCCAGGCAAUGUCAGAGCAAAUCAUUUUGGCUUGUCAUUUUGAAACAACUUUUUGUUUUGUUUUGUUUUUUCAUUUUGUACACUUAAGGUGCUGGAGCCCUGUGGGGAAAAAAUGUAUGUGAUCAUUUAACCAAAGACUGUAACGCAUACACCAUUUAAUGGGGCACAGGCAAACUGAAUAAGGGCAUUUCCUAACUUUUGAGUGCUUGACUUUGCAACCUUAAUAAUGUUCUUUUCACGUAGUUUUGUGUAUAAUAAUAAGAUUCAGUGGCAAUGGCGGUAAGAUUUUCAAAAGUGCUCAGCAUUGGCCUGACUGAACUCAACGGGAGUUUUAAAAUUGUUGUAAAUGGGAGCAGAAACAGAGCCGGGCCUAUGUUUAAAAUCCCUUGCUAGGCACCUUACGGAAAGGCUUUGAUCCAACAUUGUCUGAAGCCAGUGAGAGUCCUUCCAAUUUCUUCAGUGGACGUUGGGGAAAAAAUACCUCUCUAACUUCAUAAAUAAUUCAAUUAGUGAUAUUUGUGUUACAUAGGAACUUUAGUGACUAGCCAAAUCUGGUACUUAACAGAGAUGGUGUUUCACUCCAGGUUAAACUAAAUUGUAGUGGUAACCGUUCGCUGAAGACGUCCACGCAGUGUGCAGCAGCAGUCAAAAACACA